rnacentral:rRNA from 1 species
AUUGAACGCUGUCGGCAUGCCUUACACAUGCAAGUCGAACGGUAACGGGUCCUUCGGGAUGCCGACGAGUGGCGAACGGGUGAGUAAUAUAUCGGAACGUGCCCAGUAGUGGGGGAUAACUGCUCGAAAGAGCAGCUAAUACCGCAUACGACCUGAGGGUGAAAGGGGGGGAUCGCAAGACCUCUCGCUAUUGGAGCGGCCGAUAUCAGAUUAGCUAGUUGGUGGGGUAAAGGCCUACCAAGGCAACGAUCUGUAGUUGGUCUGAGAGGACGACCAGCCACACUGGGACUGAGACACGGCCCAGACUCCUACGGGAGGCAGCAGUGGGGAAUUUUGGACAAUGGGCGCAAGCCUGAUCCAGCAAUGCCGCGUGCAGGAAGAAGGCCUUCGGGUUGUAAACUGCUUUUGUCAGGGAAGAAAUCUUCUGGGCUAAUACCCCGGGAGGAUGACGGUACCUGAAGAAUAAGCACCGGCUAACUACGUGCCAGCAGCCGCGGUAAUACGUAGGGUGCGAGCGUUAAUCGGAAUUACUGGGCGUAAAGCGUGCGCAGGCGGCUUUGCAAGACAGAUGUGAAAUCCCCGGGCUCAACCUGGGAACUGCAUUUGUGACUGCAAGGCUAGAGUACGGCAGAGGGGGAUGGAAUUCCGCGUGUAGCAGUGAAAUGCGUAGAUAUGCGGAGGAACACCAAUGGCGAAGGCAAUCCCCUGGGCCUGUACUGACGCUCAUGCACGAAAGCGUGGGGAGCAAACAGGAUUAGAUACCCUGGUAGUCCACGCCCUAAACGAUGUCAACUGGUUGUUGGACGGCUUGCUGUUCAGUAACGAAGCUAACGCGUGAAGUUGACCGCCUGGGGAGUACGGCCGCAAGGUUGAAACUCAGAGGAAUUGACGGGGACCCGCACAAGCGGUGGAUGAUGUGGUUUAAUUCGAUGCAACGCGAAAAACCUUACCUACCCUUGACAUGUCAAGAAUUCUGCAGAGAUGUGGAAGUGCUCGAAAGAGAACUUGAACACAGGUGCUGCAUGGCCGUCGUCAGCUCGUGUCGUGAGAUGUUGGGUUAAGUCCCGCAACGAGCGCAACCCUUGUCAUUAGUUGCUACGCAAGAGCACUCUAAUGAGACUGCCGGUGACAAACCGGAGGAAGGUGGGGAUGACGUCAGGUCCUCAUGGCCCUUAUGGGUAGGGCUACACACGUCAUACAAUGGCCGGUACAGAGGGCUGCCAACCCGCGAGGGGGAGCCAAUCCCAGAAAACCGGUCGUAGUCCGGAUCGUAGUCUGCAACUCGACUGCGUGAAGUCGGAAUCGCUAGUAAUCGCGGAUCAGCUUGCCGCGGUGAAUACGUUCCCGGGUCU